UUCUACGGGGGGCAGCAGUGGGGAAUAUUGCACAAUGGGCGCAAGCUGAUGCAGCGACGCCGCGUGAGGGAUGACGGCCUUCGGGUUGUAAACCUCUUUCAGUAGGGAAGAAGCGAAAGUGACGGUACCUGCAGAAGAAGCACCGGCUAACUACGUGCCAGCAGCCGCGGUAAU
rnacentral:rRNA from 1 species